rnacentral:rRNA from 1 species
ACAAACCCAUUCAAAGGCUCCACACCCUUAGCAUCUCCACUCUUAAUUUCAGCACCGUUCGGAUUAUCACCUUUAAUAUCCACACUAUUCUUCUCAACCCCCUUAUCUACGCCUAUAUUACUAGGUUGAGCCACAACUUCCUUUUUAGGCACUUUGCAAGCACCAUUCUGAUGAACAAAUUGAUUACAUACAUGGCAAUAAGAAGGAAGUUGUUCAUAAAUAACUUGUUGCUUGAAAACCCCUCUUGGAAAUCGAAUAGUAACUUCCUCAGGAAGGUCCUUCGUCAUAUCCACAUCAAUGCGGACUCUAACAAAUGAAACUCUAUCCACAUUACCCGACUGAGCAUCAAUAUAGAUAGGGCAUCCACUGCAGAAGCAAUAGAACUUAUAUGAUGAUGUGUCCAAAAUUCCAAAGGAAGAAAAGGAAAAUAAACCUAAACAAGCACACAGGAAAUCCUUUUCUCACCAAAUUGAAAAGCUCUCAGGAGCUUUUCUUAAAGAAGAAAAUGAUUCCAAAUAGAGUAAGGUCCCAUGUGCAUAGUAAUCAUAUAUCUCACACCUCAUGUACCACAUAUAGCAUGUAACGCUCGCAUACCAGGGAACCUCCCAGAAAAGUAUCCACCCAACGUAUGACUCCAUAUAACCAAAUCAUAUUGAGGAUCAAGAACGAUAGACCCAUCAUCCGCUAGUGAAAUAUACGUAAGCAACCUUUUCUUCUCAACAUGAUUAUUAUUAACAAACUUCGAAUAAUCCAAUGGCUCAUGCACCUCUGUAGAAGCUUUCCUCGAUUUAGAGCUCCCUCGCCCACAACGCUUGAAAGCCAUCUUGCCCUUCGAAAGAGGAUUUGGUACAUGAUCAUCCACAACCCUCUCACCAUUCAAAGGAGGCCUCGGCACACUAUCAUUCGAAUCUAUCAUCCCCACAUCCUUCUUCGAAAUAUCAUCCAAAACUCCCACCGAAGAUGGAGCUUCAUGCAAUGAACCUAGAAAAUCUUUACACACUAGUGCACCCUCAUAGACCACCUCUUCCAUCUCACAAGGAACCUUAGAAGGUUUCAUAGAAGCAACAACAUUAGAAACCUCAUUAGAUUUAACGUUCUCCUAAAAAAUGAGCACAUGAUUCUUAACAUUGAUUGCAUGAGCCUCUUUUGAUGCCUUAAAAGACUCACCAAUAGCACGACUAGCCUUCUUCCCCUUUAGCCUUCUUCCCCAUCAAACAAAGGAUCAAGGGACAUGCAAGCUCUCAAACACGCCAAAAACCCUCAAGAAAACCCUACAGAAGUUGCCAGAAAAAGCACUACGGUGACCUCCACCACCAUCAACCACCACCCUCCGACGAGAUACCACCGGUUAGAAGACCAAGUAACAAAAGAAAAAUCAGAAAUCUAGAGAGAGAAAAUCUCUAAAUCUCCAGAGCACCACUCUCUUCACUUUUCCUUUUUGAGUAAUUAUAAGUAACUAUGACUCUCUUAAGGUAGCCAAAUACCUCGUCAUCCAAUUAGUGACACGCAUGAAUGGAUAAACAAGAUUCCCACUGUCCCUGUCUACUAUCCAGCGAAACCACAACCAAAGGAAUGGGCUUGGCGAAAUCAGCGGGGAAAGAAGACCUGGUUGAGCUUAACUCUAGUCCGACUUUGUGAAAUGACUUGAGAGGUGUACGAUAAGUGGGAGCCAAAAGGCAAAACUUAAAUACCACUACUUUUAACAUUAUUUUACUUAUUCUUUGAAUUGGAGGUGGGGCAUUGCCCCUCUUUUUAGACCCAAGGCUCGCCCCGACGGGCCGAUCUGGGCGGAAGACAUUAUCAGGUUGGAAGUUUGGCUGGGGCGGCACAUCUGUUAAAAGAUAAUGCAGGUGUCUUAAGAUGAGCUCAACGAGAACAGAAAUCUCACAUGGAACAGAAGGGUAAAAGCUCGUUUGAUUCUGAUUUCCUAUACGAAUACGUAUCGUGAAAGCGUGGCCUAACAAUCCUUUAGACCUUCAGAAUUUGAAGCUAGAGGUGUCAGAAAAGUUACCACAGGGAUAACUGUCUUGUGGUAGCCAAGCGUUCAUAGCGAUGUUGCUUUUUGGUCCUUCGAUGUAGGCUCUUUCUAUUAUUGUGAAACAGAAUUCACCAAGUGUUGGAUUGUUCACCCACCAAUAGGGAACGUGAGCUAGGUUUAGACUGUCGUGAGACAGGUUAGUUUUAUCCUACUGAUGGAAGUGUCGCAAUAGUAAUUCAACCUAGUACGAGAGGAACCAUUGAUUCGCACAACUGGUCAUCACGCUUGGUUAAAAAGCCAGUGGUGUGAAGCUACCGUGCGCUGGAUUAUGACUGAAUGCCUCUAAGUCAGAAUCUGAGCUAAGAUGCUAUGUAUGCGCCCACUGUCUACUCCCCGAACCGCAGUAGGGACCCCCAGGCCACUAAGGGCACGUGUCGUUGGCCAAGCCCCUAUGGCGAACGAGCCGCGUGGGCCGCCUCGAAGUAUAAUUCCAAUAGAGCGGCGGGUAGAAUCCUUUGUAGAUGACUUAAAUAUGCGACGAGGUAUUGUAAGCGGCCGAGUGGCCUUGUUGUAGCGAUCUGCUGAGAUU